CCUACGGGAGGCAGCAGUGGGGAAUCUUGGGCAAUGGGCGCAAGCCUGACCCAGCAACGCCGCGUGAAGGAAGAAGGCUUUCGGGUUGUAAACUUCUUUUCUCAGGGACGAAGCAAGUGACGGUACCUGAGGAAUAAGCCACGGCUAACUACGUGCCAGCAGCCGCGGUAAUACGGAGGUGGCAAGCGUUAUCCGGAUUUACUGGGUGUAAAGGGCGUGUAGGCGGGAAAGCAAGUCAGAUGUGAAAACCAUGGGCUCAACCUGUGGCCUGCAUUUGAAACUGUGUUUCUUGAGUACUGGAGAGGGAGACGGAAUUCCCAGUGUAGCAGUGAAAUGCGUAGAUAUUAGGAGGAACACUAGUGGCGAAGGCGGGCUGCUGGACAGCAACUGACGCUGAGGCGCGAAAGCGUGGGGAGCAAACAGGAUUAGAUACCCGUGUAGUC
rnacentral:rRNA from 1 species